UCUUCUCGUCAUCAAUUUGGAAAUUGGAGAAGUUGAAGUCUUUGACUCACUAAGCAAAAAAUCGGAACUAUACGUGUCUUGUUUUUUAAUGCUCAGAAGGUAAUUUUAAUUCUUAUCGGUUUGUUUCGUUAAUUUCCUGCUUUGAACUAAUUGAUGACUCUUUUAUGCAUUUUCUUUUGUCGAGCAGCGUAUGGCAAACUUUCAUCAAGGAAGAUACGUCCCGUGAAUGGACACCGAAGCUGCGAUGGCGUGCGAAAAAAUGCCCGCAACAACCUCCGGGGACCGAUCUCUGUGGAUUCUUCGUUUGCGAGUACAUCCGCAGAAUUGUCAGCGAGAGAACGAAUAAUGAAAGAAAUAAAGAGUUGGCAAGAAAGCGGAACAAGCUCUCAAUCGAUGACCGCUUCAUAGCAAUAGGCGAGGAAUUGGCGGGAUUUUUCCUUCGG